CAGUAGCCGCGGUAAUACGUAGGUGGCAAGCGUUGUCCGGAAUUAUUGGGCGUAAGGGCUCGCAGGCGGUUUCUUAAGUCUGAUGUGAAAGCCCCCGGCUCAACCGGGGAGGGUCAUUGGAAACUGGGAAACUUGAGUGCAGAAGAGGAGAGUGGAAUUCCACGUGCAGCGGUGAAAUGCGUAGAGAUGUGGAGGAACACCAGUGGCGAAGGCGACUCUCUGGUCUGUAACUGACGCUGAGGAGCGAAAGCGUGGGGAGCGAACAGGAUUAGAUACCCCGGUAGUCCCUGUCUCUUAUACA
rnacentral:rRNA from 1 species